GACGAACGCUGGCGGCGUGCUUAACACAUGCAAGUCGAACGGAAAGGCCCUGCUUGCAGGGUACUCGAGUGGCGAACGGGUGAGUAACACGUGGGUGAUCUGCCCUGCACUUCGGGAUAAGCCUGGGAAACUGGGUCUAAUACCGGAUAGGAGCCAUUUUUAGUGUUAUGGUUGGAAAGUUUUUUCGGUUUAGGAUGAGCUCGCGGCCUAUCUGCUUGUUGGUGGGGUAAUGGCCUACCAAGGCGGCGACGGGUAGCCGGCCUGAGAGGGUGGACGGCCACAGGGGGACUGGGAAACGGCCCAGACCCCGACGGGGGGGAGAAGUGGGGAAGAGUGAAAAAUGGGAGGAAAGCAGAUGCAGCGACGCCGCGGGGGGGAUGACGGACUUCGGGUUGUAAACUCAUUUCGCUAGGGACGAAGCUGUUUGUGACGGUACCUAGAUAAGAAGCACCGGCUAACUACGUG
rnacentral:rRNA from 1 species